rnacentral:rRNA from 1 species
CCUACGGGGGUGCAGCAGUGGGGAAUAUUGGACAAUGGGCGAAAGCCUGAUCCAGCCAUGCCGCGUGUGUGAAGAAGGCCUUCGGGUUGUAAAGCACUUUCAGUGGGGAAGAAAGCCUUGGGGCUAAUACCCUCGAGGAAGGACAUCACCCACAGAAGAAGCACCGGCUAACUCCGUGCCAGCAGCCGCGGUAAUACGGAGGGUGCGAGCGUUAAUCGGAAUUACUGGGCGUAAAGCGCGCGUAGGCGGUCUGAUAAGCCGGUUGUGAAAGCCCCGGGCUCAACCUGGGAACGGCAUCCGGAACUGUCAGGCUAGAGUGCAGGAGAGGAAGGUAGAAUUCCCGGUGUAGCGGUGAAAUGCGUAGAGAUCGGGAGGAAUACCAGUGGCGAAGGCGGCCUUCUGGACUGACACUGACGCUGAGGUGCGAAAGCGUGGGUAGCAAACAGGAUUAGAUACCCUGGUAGUC